rnacentral:rRNA from 1 species
ACCAGACUCCUACGGGAGGCAGCAGUGGGGGAUAUUGGACAAUGGGGGGAACCCUGAUCCAGCGACGCCGCGUGAGUGAAGAAGUAUUUCGGUAUGUAAAGCUCUGUCGGCAGGGAAGAAAGCAAUGACGGUACCUGACCAAGAAGCCCCGGCUAACUACGUGCCAGCAGCCGCGGUAAUACGUAGGGGGCAAGCGUUAUCCGGAAUUACUGGGUGUAAAGGGAGCGUAGACGGCUGUGCAAGUCUGGAGUGAAAGGCGGGGGCCCAACCCCCGGACUGCUCUGGAAACUGUAUGGCUGGAGUGCAGGAGAGGUGAGCGGAAUUCCUAGUGUAGCGGUGAAAUGCGUAGAUAUUAGGAGGAACACCAGUGGCGAAGGCGGCUUACUGGACCGUAACUGACGUUGAGGCUCGAAAGCGUGGGGAGCAAACAGGAUUAGAUACCCGAGUAG